rnacentral:rRNA from 1 species
AGAGUUUGAUCCUGGCUCAGGACGAACGCUGGCGGCGUGCCUAACACAUGCAAGUCGAACGGGGAGUUAUUUAUAACUCCUAGUGGCGAACGGGUGAGUAACGCGUAGACAACCUGCCUCUAAAUUGGGGACAACACCGCGAAAGUGGUGCUAAUACCGAAUGUGGUAUCUUGGUCGCAUGACUAGGAUAAGAAAGGUGGCCUCUAUUUAUAAGCUACCGAUUAGAGAUGGGUCUGCGUCUGAUUAGCUAGUUGGUGAGGUAAUGGCUCACCAAGGCAACGAUCAGUAGCCGGUCUGAGAGGAUGCAACGGCCACACUGGGACUGAGACACGGCCCAGACUCCUACGGGAGGCAGCAGUGGGGAAUCUUCCGCAAUGGACGAAAGUCUGACGGAGCAACGCCGCGUGAGUGAAGAAGGUCUUCGGAUUGUAAAGCUCUGUCGUUUGGGACGAACGUGGGAUGUGUGAAUAAUGCAUUCUAAUGACGGUACCGAAGGAGGAAGCCACGGCUAACUACGUGCCAGCAGCCGCGGUAAUACGUAGGUGGCAAGCGUUGUCCGGAAUUAUUGGGCGUAAAGGGCGUGUAGGUGGAUUUUUAAGUCGUGUGUCUAAGUGCGGGGCUCAACCCCGUAUAGGCGCAGGAAACUGGGAAUCUUGAGUGCAGGAGAGGAAAGUGGAAUUCCCAGUGUAGCGGUGAAAUGCGUAGAUAUUGGGAGGAACACCAGUGGCGAAGGCGACUUUCUGGACUGUGUCUGACACUGAGGCGCGAAAGCUAGGGGAGCGAACGGGAUUAGAUACCCCGGUAGUCCUAGCCGUAAACGAUGGGUACUAGGUGUAGAGGGUAUCGACCCCUUCUGUGCCGCAAGCUAACGCAAAUAAGUACCCCCGGCCUGGGGAGUACGGCCAGCAAGGUUUUGAAACUCAAAGGAAUUGACGGGGGCCCGCACAAGCGGUGGAGUAUGUGGUUUAAUUCGACGCAACGCGGAAGAACCUUACCAGGGCUUGACAUUGAGUGAAAGACUAAGAGAUUAGUUCCUAUCUUCGGAUACACGAAAACAGGUGGUGCAUGGCUGUCGUCAGCUCGUGUCGUGAGAUGUUGGGUUAAGUCCCACAACGAGCGCAACCCUUAUCCUUUGUUGCCAGCGAGUAAUGUCGGGAACUCAAGGGAGACUGCCGUCGACAAGACGGAGGAAGGCGGGGAUGACGUCAAGUCAUCAUGCCCCUUAUGUCCUGGGCUACACAGGUACUACAAUGGGCUUAAACAAAGCGAAGCAAGACCGCGAGGUCAAGCAAAACGCAUAAACAAGCUCUCAGUUCGGAUCGGAGGCUGCAACUCGCCUCCGUGAAGUCGGAAUCGCUAGUAAUCGCAGGUCAGCAUACUGCGGUGAAUACGUUCCCGGGCCUUGUACACUCCGCCC